GAUCGUCCUCCUGCUUCUGCUUCCCAAGUACUGGGAUUAAAGGCAUCCCCACUAAGGUGGCCCGGCUCGUGAGCUGCCAUGACCUGGCUUUCCUUUGUAGUGUGGGGUUUUUCCCCCAUGAUGUUUGGUUUCCUCGUGUUUUGAAAUAUUAUUAUUAUUAUUAUUACUA